GAUACCCUAUUAUUUUAGAUGUUAUUAUUUUUCUAUAAUUAUUGUUAGUUAAGUUCUUUAAAAUUAAACAAUUUGGCGGUAUUUUAGUCUAUUCAGAGGAACCUGUUUUUUAAUCGAUAGUCCACGAUAAUUUUUACUUUUACUUUAAAUUUAUAUAUCGUCGUUUUUAAGAAUUUUAGGAGGAUUAUAAUUUUUAGGAUUCUUUAUUUAGGAUAAGUUCAGAUCAAGGUGUAGUUUAUGUUAAAGUUAAAAUGGGUUACAUUUCAUUUAUGAGUGGUUCUUUUAAAAAAAUUUUUUGAUAAAAUGGAUUUGAUGGUAAAUUCUUUAUUUAUGGGAUUUGAUUAAGCUCUAAGAUAUGCACAUAUCGCC
rnacentral:rRNA from 1 species